GCAAGUUUGAGGCUUUUUCUGUUUG
rnacentral:piRNA from 1 species